rnacentral:rRNA from 1 species
UACGAAGGGGGCUAGCGUUGCUCGGAAUCACUGGGCGUAAAGCGCUCGUAGGCGGAUUGUUAAGUCAGGGGUGAAAUCCUGGAGCUCAACUCCAGAACUGCCUUUGAUACUGGCGAUCUCGAGUCCGGGAGAGGUGAGUGGAACUGCGAGUGUAGAGGUGAAAUUCGUAGAUAUUCGCAAGAACACCAGUGGCGAAGGCGGCGCACUGGCCCGGUACUGACGCUGAGGAGCGAAAGCGUGGGGAGCAAACAGG